rnacentral:rRNA from 1 species
CCUACGGGGGGCUGCAGUGGGGAAUAUUGCACAAUGGGCGCAAGCCUGAUGCAGCCAUGCCGCGUGUGUGAAGAAGGCCUUCGGGUUGUAAAGCACUUUCAGCGGGGAGGAAGGCGGUGAGGUUAAUAACCUCAUCGAUUGACGUUACCCGCAGAAGAAGCACCGGCUAACUCCGUGCCAGCAGCCGCGGUGAAUACGGAGGGUGCAAGCGUUAAUCGGAAUUACUGGGCGUAAAGCGCACGCAGGCGGUCUGUCAAGUCGGAUGUGAAAUCCCCGGGCUCAACCUGGGAACUGCAUUCGAAACUGGCAGGCUAGAGUCGUGUAGAGGGGGGUAGAAUUCCAGGUGUAGCGGUGAAAUGCGUAGAGAUCUGGAGGAAUACCGGUGGCGAAGGCGGCCCCCUGGACAAAGACUGACGCUCAGGUGCGAAAGCGUGGGGAGCAAACAGGAUUAGAUACCCGGGUAGUC